AAGGAGUGAACGCUGGCGGCGUGCCUAAUACAUGCAAGUCGAGCGGUAAGGCUUUCACUCUGUAUUUAAUGAGUUGAAUAUAGUGUGAAAGUACACGAGCGGCGGACGGCUGAGUAACGCGUAGGAACGUACCCCAAAGUGAGGGAUAAGCACCGGAAACGGUGUCUAAUACCGCAUGUGAUCUUCGGAUUAAAGCUUUAUGCGCUUUGGGAGCGGCCUGCGUAAGAUUAGUUUGUUGGUGAGGUAAUGGCUCACCAAGACUACGAUCUUUAGCUGGUCUGAGAGGAUGAUCAGCCAGACUGGGACUGAGACACGGCCCAGACUCCUACGAGAGGCAGCAGUAGGGAAUUUCCACAAUGGACGAAAGUCUGAUGGAGCAACGCCGCGUGCAGGAUGAAGGCCUUCGGGUUGUAAACUGCUUUUAUCUGUGACGAUUAUGACGGUAGCAGAUGAAUAAGGAUCGGCUAACUCCGUG
rnacentral:rRNA from 1 species